GACGAACGCUGGCGGCGUGCUUAACACAUGCAAGUCGAACGAAAAGAGGGAAAGAGCUUGCUCUUUCCGGAAUUGAGUGGCAAACGGGUGAGUAACACGUAAACAACCUGCCUUCAGGAUGGGGACAACAGACGGAAACGACUGCUAAUACCGAAUAAGUUCCAAGAGCCGCAUGGCCCAUGGAAGAAAAGGUGGCCUCUACCUGUAAGCUAUCGCCUGAAGAGGGGUUUGCGUCUGAUUAGCUGGUUGGAGGGGUAACGGCCCACCAAGGCGACGAUCAGUAGCCGGUCUGAGAGGAUGAACGGCCACACCGGAACUGAGACACGGUCCAGACUCCUACGGGAGGCAGCAGUGGGGAAUCUUCCGCAAUAGGCGAAAGCCUGACGGAGCAACGCCGCGUGAGUGAUGACGGCCUUCGGGUUGUAAAACUCUGUGAUCCGGGACGAAAAGGCAGAGUGCGAAGAACAAACUGCAUUGACGGUACCGGAAAAGCAAGCCACGGCUAACUACGUG
rnacentral:rRNA from 1 species